rnacentral:rRNA from 1 species
UACAGGGGGGGCAAGCGUUGUUCGGAAUUACUGGGCGUAAAGGGUUCGUAGGUGGCUUACUAAGUCAGACGUGAAAUCCCUCAGCUUAACUGGGGAACUGCGUCUGAUACUGGAAAGCUUGAGUGCAGGAGAGGAACGCGGAAUUCCAGGUGUAGCGGUGAAAUGCGUAGAUAUCUGGAGGAACACCGGUGGCGAAGGCGGCGUUCUGGACUGUAACUGACACUGAUGAACGAAAGCCAGGGGAGCAAACGGG